rnacentral:rRNA from 1 species
AAUAGAUACCCGGGUAGUCCACGCCGUAAACGAUGAGUGCUAAGUGUUAGAGGGUUUCCGCCCUUUAGUGCUGCAGCUAACGCAUUAAGCACUCCGCCUGGGGAGUACGGCCACAAGGCUGAAACUCAAAGGAAUUGACGGGGGCCCGCACAAGCGGUGGAGCAUGUGGUUUAAUUCGAAGCAACGCGAAGAACCUUACCAGGUCUUGACAUCCUCUGACACUCCUAGAGAUAGGACUUUCCCCUUCGGGGGACAGAGUGACAGGUGGUGCAUGGUUGUCGUCAGCUCGUGUCGUGAGAUGUUGGGUUAAGUCCCGCAACGAGCGCAACCCUUGAUCUUAGUUGCCAGCAUUCAGUUGGGCACUCUAAGGUGACUGCCGGUGACAAACCGGAGGAAGGUGGGGAUGACGUCAAAUCAUCAUGCCCCUUAUGACCUGGGCUACACACGUGCUACAAUGGAUGGUACAAAGGGCAGCAAAGCCGCGAGGCCUAGCCAAUCCCAUAAAACCAUUCUCAGUUCGGAUUGU